GCAAGUCGAACGGAAAUAUCGGAGCUUGCUCUGAAUAUUUAGUGGCGGACGGGUGAGUAACACGUGAGCAACCUGCCUUUGAGAGUGGAAUAGCUUCUGGAAACGGAUGGUAAUACCGCAUAACGUUGCGAAACCGCAUGAUUUUGCAACCAAAGAUUUAUCGCUCAAAGAUGGGCUCGCGUCUGAUUAGAUAGUUGGUGGGGUAACGGCCUACCAAGUCGACGAUCAGUAGCCGGACUGAGAGGUUGAACGGCCACAUUGGGACUGAGACACGGCCCAGACUCCUACGGGAGGCAGCAGUGGGGAAUAUUGCACAAUGGGCGGAAGCCUGAUGCAAGCGAUGCCGCGUGGAGGAAGAAGGUUUUCGGAUUGUAAACUCCUGAUCUGAGGGACGAUAGUGACGGUACCUCAGGAGAAAGCUCCGGCUAACUACGUGCCAGCCGCUGC
rnacentral:rRNA from 1 species